rnacentral:tRNA from 1 species
CAUUAGGCUUAAAAUCUAAAAAUAAUAACAACUUAUUCUAUAUUA